CAUGCCUUGCGAAGAUGAUGAGUCUGAGAGCGUCUACCUCAACGUAUACGAAUUGCUCGUAUUUGACGCUGUCAACAAGUACCUCCUCGUGCCUCUGGGUCUAGGCGCCUAUCACACCGGCGUCGAAGUCUACGGAGAGGAGUUCAGCUUCGGCUAUCAGGAAGGACGGGGCUCCGGGACCUUCUCGAUCACUCCCGGCACGGCGCCUCAAUGUAGAUUUCGCGAGUCGAUCUUGAUCGGAAAAACCCACUUCAGCAAACCCCAGGUCAGGCGCAUUCUGGAAGAACUGAGCGACGAAUACGUCGGGACUUACGAUUUGGUCAACAGGAACUGCAACGUAUUCACGGACGCUCUUUGCAAAAUAUUAACGGGAAAUGGCAUACCAAAUUACAUAAACCGGUUGUCCAACUUCGCAUCCACGUUCCGUCAACUCUUGCCGAAGACGCGCAUAGGGCCGUCUAUACAAUCGAAAGACAUGAUAAAAUCAUCAGAGACGAACAAAGAUGCGCAGUAAAAUCGCGUGAAGAGACCUGUUUCCAAGGCACAUUUGUCUACUCUUCUCUUCGAACGACGCAUCGCCACCAGAGGUCCGACAAGUCUCCAGAGCGUGACAUAUGAAUUGCGACCGGAGUGCGUCCACACCGCGCGCAGAAAAUCAGACGCUUCUUCCGUGCUUUUUGGUGGCGAACAAGCUUCCCGAAGGGGGAGCACCUUGUGUACAUAUAAUAGCCUUUCAGAGAAAAUUAUACAAUCUCGUAAUAAAAUAAGGCCAUUCCGCACCAACGAA